AACCACUGAACCAUGAAAAUGAGGUCAAGGUCAGAUGACACCUGCCAGCUAGACAUGUACACCUUACAAUCAUUCCAUACACCAAAUAUAGUAGACCUAUUGCAUACAGUAUAAGAAAAACAGACCAAAACACAAAAACUUAACUAUAACCACUGAACCAUGAAAAUGAGGUCAAGGUCAAAUAAAACCUGCAUGACUGACAUAUAGAUCAUAAAAUAUUUCCAUACACCAAAUAUAGUUGAACUAUUGCAUAUAGUAUUAGAAAAACAGACCAAAACACAAAAACUUAACUAUAACCACUGAACCAUGAAAAUGAGGUCAAGGUCAGAUGACACCUGUCAGUUGGACAUGUACACCUUACAGUCCUUCCAUACACUGAAUAUACUAGACCUACUGCUUAUAGUAUCAGAGAUAUGGACUUGACCACCAAAACUUAACCUUGUUCACUGAUCCAUGAAAUGAGGUUGAGGUCAAGUGAAAACUGUCUGACGGACAUGAGGACCUUGCAAGGUACACACAUACCAAAUAUAGUUAUCCUAUUACUUAUAAUAAGAGAGAAUUUAACA